rnacentral:rRNA from 1 species
GAUGAACGCUGGCGGCGUGCUUAACACAUGCAAGUCGAACGUGAUCCAUUAGCAAUAGUGGUGAAAGUGGCGAACGGGUGAGUAACACGUAGAUAACCUGCCCUGAAGCGGGGGAUAACGAUUGGAAACGGUCGCUAAUACCGCAUGAGUCCAUCGAAUCGGGAGAGAGAUGGAGAAAAUCACGGUGCUUCAGGAGGGGUCUGCGUCCGAUUAGCUAGUUGGCGAGGUAAAGGCUCACCAAGGCGACGAUCGGUAGCUGGUCUGAGAGGACGAUCAGCCACACGGGAACUGAGACACGGUCCCGACUCCUACGGGGGGCAGCAGUGAGGAAUAUUGGGCAAUGGGCGGAAGCCUGACCCAGCAACGCCGCGUGGAGGAUGAAGGCCUUCGGGUCGUAAACUCCUUUUGUCGGGGAAGAGGAAGGACGGUACCCGGCGAAUAAGUCACGGCUAACUACGUG